UAGCGGUCAGCUUGGCCACGGGGAUACUCUUGACAGGAAUACUCCAACGCUUAUCGAGGCUAUUAGCAUGGAUGGUUCCAGUUGCAGAUACAUAAAUUCCUCUAAAGUACAUUUCUCAUCAGGAAAGACCUGUGUCUUGCCAUCCGAUCGAUAUGCAAUUGUUCCUGAUGAGUUAGCUGCUGGACAUACAGAGAUGCUUCCUGGAGAUGGUGAGUUCGAUGUAAAUGUGCCAGAGAAGUGAGUUUGACUGUAGUCUCCAUCCCUAUUUGCUGUUGUAGCUAG
rnacentral:misc_RNA from 1 species